ACAAACUAGCUCCAAGAGAAGACAAACUGACAGAAUUCUAAUCGGUUCAAUUUCUUCUCCCAAAACCACACAUCCAUUUUGAAAUUUGACUCAGUUACACGAUCGAUUUCCAAUUCCGUGAUUUCCUAACCAACAUCUCCAUUAACAAGAUCAAGACAAACCUCGUAUGGCUAUAGAUCAAUGGAAAGAUAAAGUUUUGGAAUAAUCGCCCCCGUAUCUACGUUUAAUCGUUGAGGUGCUGGUCUUGAAUGUCCUAUCGAUGGUUGAGGUUCGGCAUGUGUUGCAGAUACUCCACAACUCGUGAGCAGCAUCGUGUAGCUAAGUUUCGACCUACAGCUCGUGUGAGCAGGCCUGUUUUCAUAGCUCGUGCAAGCGUACUUAUUCACAGCUCGUGUGAGCAUACAUGUAUAGGAAUUGACGGAUUACAGUUAUAUGAGUUAACAAACUUUGUGUGUGAGCUAUCCCGGGUAUCCAACUAUAUUCUAAACAGUUCAACAGGCAUGAUCUGUAAGAAAUGGUAAGAGUUCGAUACGAACUAAGAUAUGAACAUGUGUGAAUUGUGUUGAAUUUGUGAUACAUGAAUUAACGAAAGUUGAGAUGGAUGAUAUUUGUAUUGUUACAUGAUUAACUGUUCUGAUCAUCCAUAAGUAAAUUACUUAUGUUUUAUGCUUA